ACGGGUGAGUAACACGUGAGCAACCUGCCCUAAAGACUGGGAUAACCCCGGGAAACCGGAGCUAAUACCGGAUGUCCUCAUCAGAUCGCAUGUUCAGAUGAGGAAAUGAAUUUCGCUUUAGGAGGGGCUCGCGGGAUAUCAGCUUGUUGGUGGGGUAACGGCCUACCAAGGCUUCGACGUCUAGCUGGUCUGAGAGGACGAUCAGCCACACUGGGACUGAGACACGGCCCAGACUCCUACGGGAGGCAGCAGUGGGGAAUCUUGCCCAAUGGGCGAAAGCCUGAGGCAGCAACGCCGCGUGUGGGAUGACGGCCUUCGGGUUGUAAACCACUUUCAGCAGGGACGAAAUUGACGGUACCUGCAGAAGAAGCUCCGGCCAACUACGUGCCAGCAGCCGCGGUAAUACGUAGGGAGCAAGCGUUGUCCGGAUUUAUUGGGCGUAAAGAGCGCGUAGGCGGCUUAGUAAGCCGGAUGUGAAACCCCCAAGCUCAACUUGGGGCGGCCAUUCGGAACUGCUAUGGCUAGAGUCUGGUAGGGGAACACGGAAUUCCUGGUGUAGCGGUGAAAUGCUUAGA
rnacentral:rRNA from 1 species